rnacentral:rRNA from 1 species
UACAGAGGGUGCGAGCGUUAAUCGGAAUGACUGGGCGUAAAGGGUGCGUAGGUGGUUUGAUAAGUUAGAUGUGAAAGUCCUGGGCUUAACCUGGGGAUGGCGUUUGAUACUGUCAAGCUAGAGUGCUGUAGAGGGAAGUGGAAUUUCCGGUGUAGCAGUGAAAUGCGUAGAGAUCGGAAGGAACAUCAGUGGCGAAGGCGACUUUCUGGACAGACACUGACACUGAGGCACGAAAGCGUGGGGAGCAAAC